AUAGUUUAGUGUAAAGCAUUAAAAGAAAGGAAAAAAUUUAAAAUAUCACUCCUGUAGUUUCGUACUUUUUUAUUUUAGUACGUUGUGGUUUAAAGUGUAUCAAUUUAGUACUUCAUUAUUUUAUUUUUCUCUUUUUAUUAUCCCCUCUACUAAUUUUUUUCGUUAAAUCAGGAACAAAGUUAAAACUAAAAAGUCUAAAAUAAAUAUUCGAUAAACUUAUGUGCGGUAUCUGAAGUUUUUUGUAUAUAAUUUAACGAAAUGUUAACGAAUGAGCUGACGAAAAGAGAAAAAAAAUAAAAUUACAAAAUACUAAAUCGAUACACUUUAAAUCACAUAAUACUAAAAUGAGAAAUUACAAAAUGAGAGAGUUGGUACUUAAAAUUUACCUUAAAUUAAAUAAUAUAUA
rnacentral:lncRNA from 1 species